CUGAUUGAGCACCUGGGGAAAGGACCCGGUCAGCCCUGGGAGCACAGGUGAAGGCAAUUCAGCUGUGUGACCCGAAGGGGUGGAGCCUGGCUGCACCUCUCUUAGACCUCAUUGAAGGGCUGAGUGCCACUGGGGAAGGAUCUCUAACCAGAGAUCCUUCCUUGGUGAAGCUUUGCCCUGUGAACCUAGAAUUUUCUGAAUCAGCACAGUGUGAUCUGAAUUGCAUCCAUAAAGCACAGAUGGGAGAAAAGAUGGCCCAUACUUUUCAAUGCCAUUCACUUGAACAGAACCAUCGUGCUUCACUCAUGCAAACAACAGUCCUCUCAGCAAAUUGAAACCCACAUUCAAGGCUGCAGAAAGGGUGAGCAAGCCAUGUUAAGACCAUACUGUAUGCUUAAUUAUCUAUAAGCAAGCAAGCAAUGCUCUGAAAGCUAGUAAGAGUUGCAUAGAAAAAGGAAAUGCUGUCUGCAAAACAUCAGCUGCAGAACUUAGAAGUCCUGCAAUGAAGGAGGCAGCCAGUUGAAGGUAAGAAAGGACAGCCCUACGGAUGAUGCAAUUAAGUGCUGUGUUUAAGAACUGACUGUAUCCCUGCUACUGAUGCAGUCCACUGGGAAUGCCAGAAAAUCUGUGCAACUGUCCUGAGACCACAGGACAUUAUCAAUCUGUGGAGUAUUCUGCAAAUGAAAUAGGGCUGUGUUUGUAAUAUGAAGGACUAUUAAAGAUGGUAACGCAAGAAAAUCAAUUGACUAGGUUAAUGUUUCCAAAUGAGUACCAAGAAGUGUGGUUACAUUUGUCUUCUUCCUAUGGCUCAGUUCAACCAAGUAGAAAAUGUCCCUCUCAUCUUAGGCUAUUUUGAAAAUAAAUUAAAUUGUGUAGUGGAAAUGCUUAGUCAUGGCCUGAACCAGACACUGAGCUCCUGGUGGGAGGGCAAGGCCAGCCCAGGGAGCUCAGGUGCAUGUAAUACAUCUGAGUAACAGGAAGGGGUGGAACCAGGAUCUACCUCUUCCCAGACCUCAU